rnacentral:rRNA from 14 species
GGGUUGUGAGGUUAAGCGACUAAGCGUACACGGUGGAUGCCCUGGCAGUCAGAGGCGAUGAAGGACGUGCUAAUCUGCGAUAAGCGUCGGUAAGGUGAUAUGAACCGUUAUAACCGGCGAUUUCCGAAUGGGGAAACCCAGUGUGAUUCGUCACACUAUCAUUACGUGAAUACAUAGCGUAAUGAAGCGAACCGGGGGAACUGAAACAUCUAAGUACCCCGAGGAAAAGAAAUCAACCGAGAUUCCCCCAGUAGCGGCGAGCGAACGGGGAGCAGCCCAGAGUCUGAAUCAGCUUGUGUGUUAGUGGAACGGUCUGGAAAGUCCGACGGUACAGGGUGAUAGUCCCGUACACCAAAAUGCACAGGUUGUGAACUCGAAGAGUAGGGCGGGACACGUGGUAUCCUGUCUGAAUAUGGGGGGACCAUCCUCCAAGGCUAAAUACUCCUGACUGACCGAUAGUGAACCAGUACCGUGAGGGAAAGGCGAAAAGAACCC